UGGUAUUGAUAAAGGUUGAAGUUUGGGGCUGUUGGGAAAAUUGAAAAAGAAAAGAUAAGCAUUGAGCUAAUGUGUUGAGCAAACAUGAAAAAAUGAAAAAGAUAGAAAAGAUAGAUUGAAAGAAAAAGAUAAGCUCAAUGCAAAAAGGGGAAAGUUGGGAAUGAGUGAGAUUGGUUAUUAAAGAGAGUUUGUGCUUGAAUUAUAAAUGUGAAUAACUCUCUUAACUCAAGGUUUUUGUGAUCCAGAAAAACCAAUGUUCUUCUUAGCCCAACCACGUUACAAGCCAUGAAAAGUCCUUGUGAUGAUAACUUGCUUGUGAG
rnacentral:lncRNA from 1 species